UAUCAGCAAACCUGGUAUCACGAGGCCAAUACGCUGAAAAUGGCUCGCCUGUGGCUGGCGCACUACUCCCUCCCUCGGGCUCUGACGCGGCUGCAGGCUGCCAGGGAGCACGGGGGAUCCCAGAAUCCACCAGGACUUCCCAGAACAGGAGCUGAAUAAGUCUCUGCAGUCCCUGAAUAAUUUCUGCAGCCAAAUCGGAGACGACCGGCCGCUGUCCUUCUGCCACUUCAGCCCCAACUCCAGAUGGUUG